rfam:Candidatus Magasanikbacteria bacterium CG1_02_41_34 cg1_0.2_scaffold_1997_c, whole genome shotgun sequence.
GUGUAUUCUCUCUCCAUACCGCAGACAGUAGGUGUUCGUAGUAAUAUGGACUUAAUUUCCUACCGAGGUGAGUCUCAUUUGGCUUUGUUGGCGAGGUUUUAUACUUGACGACAGCCAAAAGGUCGAAGAUUCACAAGUUGUUCUGUGGGAAACCACAGUUUUUUUGUUGAAAUU